AGUGAACGCUGGCGGUAGGCCUAACACAUGCCAGUCGAACGGCAGCACAGUAAGAGCUUGCUCUUACGGGUGGCGAGUGGCGGACGGGUGAGGAAUACAUCGGAAUCUACUUUUUCGUGGGGGAUAACGUAGGGUAACUUACGCUAAUACCGCAUACGACCUACGGGUGAAAGCAGGGGAUCUUCGGACCUUGCGCGAUUGAAUGAGCCGAUGUCGGAUUAGCUAGUUGGCGGGGUAAAGGCCCACCAAGGCGACGAUCCGUAGCUGGUCUGAGAGGAUGAUCAGCCACACUGGAACUGAGACACGGUCCAGACUCCUACGGGAGGCAGCAGUGGGGAAUAUUGGACAAUGGGCGCAAGCCUGAUCCAGCCAUACCGCGUGGGUGAAGAAGGCCUUCGGGUUGUAAAGCCCUUUUGUUGGGAAAGAAAAGCAGCAGGUUAAUACCCCGCUGUUCUGACGGUACCCAAAGAAUAAGCACCGGCUAACUUCGUG
rnacentral:rRNA from 1 species